UUCGACGCAACGCGAAGAACCUUACCUACUCUUGACAUCUACAGAAGACUGCAGAGAUGCGGUUGUGCCUUCGGGAACCGUGAGACAGGUGCUGCAUGGCUGUCGUCAGCUCGUGUUGUGAAAUGUUGGGUUAAGUCCCGCCGCAAUUAUUCACGCGCUUACUUGCAUCAUCUUGACCGUUGCAACGAAAUAUUAGGCGCGCGACUCAACACCAUUCAUAACCUUCGUUACUAC
rnacentral:rRNA from 1 species